rnacentral:lncRNA from 1 species
CUUUGUAUAACAUUUGAGAAAUGAAGUACUGAUCGGAUACAAUGAUACCCCCUUCCCAUUUACUAUUAGUGAUUACGGCAAUGAACCAGGAAAUCCAAGACCCAACUAUUCUUUUAUAAGCAUCUCACUUAUGGCAGCAAAGCACAAUUGCAGUAAAAUCAAAACAUCCAUCCCCGUGGCAACGCUUCCAUACACGCCCGCGGAAAUAUAAGUGAUCAUUCUCAAUGAAAACUCCAGACUAAGAAUUAGCGGUGUUAUAAUAGCAUGUUGUUUCUCUUGCAAGCAUAAUUAACCCCAUAGUAUGUUGUGGCAAUAAUAUUGUGCCUUUAUCUUGCACGAGGCUGUCAUCAAGUUCUGCUAUCAGCGAUCUCGGCAUUGAGGUGGAACAGCGUCUAAGAAUAACGCACAUAGCUGUCAGGAGACAUGUCAGAAUUUUUUCAACUAAGACGCAAGGUUGAAAAGACCCAAGCAAAGCUAGAAAAUCCAUUGUGUGGAAAUACCCGAGCAGCGCUGGACAACUAUUGUGCGAGGAGUCACGCGCAGGACUGGAAAUCCCGGUAUACUAAGAAAUCUGGCGGUACCCCAAAGCGCCAGGGCUGCCAUACUGACCCCUGUCCACCCAAGAUUCAAACAAAUGCAGAGUGGUCCCGAGCAGCUCUGGGAAUUCCCAAAGCUCCCGAGAAAUCAUCAAGCAGGGCUGGAAAUACCUC